rnacentral:lncRNA from 1 species
UGUUCUGUUCUGUUCUGCGGAUUGGUGAUGUUUGUGCCAAACACGCCUUCCGAUUUUGCACGCAUCUGGAUUGCGCAGUCCGAUGUGUGAUUGCCUGUGUGGCAUUAUUUGACUUGCCUGUGUGGCAAGGUAUAUUACUAUUUAUUCUGAGCUCGGUAUGAAAUAACACCCAGCCAUCUGAUUCAGCCUAUUAUUUCGUUGUGUUAGUUUUGUUCGUUUCGUUUCAGUUCGUUCGUUUCAUUUCAUUUAAUUGAGUUAGUUAUUUCGGUUCAUUAGUUGUAUUCUAUAUCCGUACUGGGC